rnacentral:rRNA from 1 species
UUGAACGCUGGCGGCAGGCCUAACACAUGCAAGUCGAGCGGUAACACAGAGAGCUUGCUCUCGGGUGACGAGCGGCGGACGGGUGAGUAAUGUCUGGGAAACUGCCUGAUGGAGGGGGAUAACUACUGGAAACGGUAGCUAAUACCGCAUAACGUCGCAAGACCAAAGUGGGGGACCUUCGGGCCUCAUGCCAUCAGAUGUGCCCAGAUGGGAUUAGCUAGUAGGUGGGGUAACGGCUCACCUAGGCGACGAUCCCUAGCUGGUCUGAGAGGAUGACCAGCCACACUGGAACUGAGACACGGUCCAGACUCCUACGGGAGGCAGCAGUGGGGAAUAUUGCACAAUGGGCGCAAGCCUGAUGCAGCCAUGCCGCGUGUGUGAAGAAGGCCUUCGGGUUGUAAAGCACUUUCAGCGGGGAGGAAGGCGGUGAGGUUAAUAACCUCAUCGAUUGACGUUACCCGCAGAAGAAGCACCGGCUAACUCCGUGCCAGCAGCCGCGGUAAUACGGAGGGUGCAAGCGUUAAUCGGAAUUACUGGGCGUAAAGCGCACGCAGGCGGUCUGUCAAGUCGGAUGUGAAAUCCCCGGGCUCAACCUGGGAACUGCAUUCGAAACUGGCAGGCUAGAGUCUUGUAGAGGGGGGUAGAAUUCCAGGUGUAGCGGUGAAAUGCGUAGAGAUCUGGAGGAAUACCGGUGGCGAAGGCGGCCCCCUGGACAAAGACUGACGCUCAGGUGCGAAAGCGUGGGGAGCAAACAGGAUUAGAUACCCUGGUAGUCCACGCCGUAAACGAUGUCGAUUUGGAGGUUGUGCCCUUGAGGCGUGGCUUCCGGAGCUAACGCGUUAAAUCGACCGCCUAGGGAGUACGGCCGCAAGGUUAAAACUCAAAUGAAUUGACGGGGGCCCGCACAAGCGGUGGAGCAUGUGGUUUAAUUCGAUGCAACGCGAAGAACCUUACCUGGUCUUGACAUCCACAGAACUUUCCAGAGAUGGAUUGGUGCCUUCGGGAACUGUGAGACAGGUGCUGCAUGGCUGUCGUCAGCUCGUGUUGUGAAAUGUUGGGUUAAGUCCCGCAACGAGCGCAACCCUUAUCCUUUGUUGCCAGCGGUUAGGCCGGGAACUCAAAGGAGACUGCCAGUGAUAAACUGGAGGAAGGUGGGGAUGACGUCAAGUCAUCAUGGCCCUUACGACCAGGGCUACACACGUGCUACAAUGGCAUAUACAAAGAGAAGCGACCUCGCGAGAGCAAGCGGACCUCAUAAAGUAUGUCGUAGUCCGGAUUGGAGUCUGCAACUCGACUCCAUGAAGUCGGAAUCGCUAGUAAUCGUAGAUCAGAAUGCUACGGUGAAUACGUUCCCGGGCCUUGUACACACCGCCCGUCACACCAUGGGAGUGGGUUGCAAAAGAAGUAGGUAGCUUAACCUUCGGGAGGGCGCUUACCACUUUGUGAUUCAUGACUGGGGUG